UAAAGAAAAGAAAAAUGUAAAUAAACAAACAAAACAUUACAAAGUAAGUAUGCCCUCUCAUAAUUAUGUUAUAUCUCAAUAUCAUGGGCAACAAGCUUGAGGUGUCCUUUUUUGGGAUAUUUAUACUACAGAGUUAUAGGGGGCCGACCCGCCACAAUUCUGGUUAAGUACAGCGCCUGUAAAUUCAAAUAUUGAUUUGAUUUUGGAUUGUGUUACUCUGUCUAGAGAAUUAAAAUAGAGUUGCCAAGUGAGGACGAUUUUUUUCGUGAGGGUACUUUUAUUUAACCGGGUUUCUAACUAAUCCUUAUCACAUUGAAGAGAAGGAACCUCCCUUCUAGGUCUCGGAUUUGUUUGUGGAUAGUUGGAAAGAUAAAUUUUAUAAGUAAUAUUGCUACUACUCGAGUUUGAUGCAUGUGUUUAUCCAUC